GAUGAACGCUGGCGGCGUGCUUAACACAUGCAAGUCGAGCGAAGCACUUAUGAUGAUUCUUCGGAUGAACCAUUUGUGACUGAGCGGCGGACGGGUGAGUAACGCGUGAGUAACCUGCCUCAUACAGGGGAAUAACAGUUAGAAAUGACUGCUAAUGCCGCAUAAGCGCACAGGGCCGCAUGGCCCGGUGUGAAAAACUCCGGUGGUAUGAGAUGGACUCGCGUCUGAUUAGCUAGUUGGCAGGGUAACGGCCUACCAAGGCGACGAUCAGUAGCCGGCCUGAGAGGGUGAACGGCCACAUUGGGACUGAGACACGGCCCAAACUCCUACGGGAGGCAGCAGUGGGGAAUAUUGCACAAUGGGGGAAACCCUGAUGCAGCGACGCCGCGUGAGUGAAGAAGUAUUUCGGUAUGUAAAGCUCUAUCAGCAGGGAAGAAAAUGACGGUACCUGACUAAGAAGCCCCGGCUAACUA
rnacentral:rRNA from 1 species